AGCAAAAUCGACUGUUAGGCUGAAGUGGUGGCGGAUAAAGCUUUGGUUCAUGAUCAUUGACAUCCAUGUCUUGCACACUGCAGUGCAAUUGAUCAAAGAUUUAACGGGUAGCCUACAUAGGAUGUCUUGUAUUAUUUCCUGAGGAAAAGCUUCAAAUUUGAAUUCGUGUAUCCUUUAUGUGAUAUCUUGCAUGUUAUCCAUGUCUUGCAUAUUCAAAUAGUUAACCAACUGAGAAAGAAAAGCAAUAUAUGUUGGAAUGUAAUCCUGCAGCUGCUUUCUUGAUGCCGAAGUCACCAAGCUCUAUUUCUAUCAUUUUAUGUUUAUUUUAUUUGUGAUGUAAUUAGAACCAUUGGAUCAUAGUCCAUGUUGAUUCUCCAGCUUAGAUUUGGGAUGACAAGUGUAAACACCUCAUAUGGUGACAGCUGUAAUUCGGUUAGAGAAGAAUCUCUCUUCUCUCUCCUCUAUCGAGUACACUAUGUAAGCCAACUGUUUGUGAAAAUGCAAUAGAACAGUCCCUUCUCACUUUCUCUUAUUCUCUGCAAAAUCUCCAUUUCUCUAAAAUAUACAAAACAACCAUAGAAUUCUAACAU
rnacentral:lncRNA from 1 species